CCUCCUUUUCUUUGUCAUGCAUGCAUAUUAAUUGAGGAUGGAGAAUAUCUACGCUUGUUCAGGCCAGCCAACAUACGACAGUUUACUUCAAGACAGGAGACAUGGGUUGAAUGCUGAAAACAUGCACAGCCAAGCCCAGAUGCCAGUCUUGUUAGCUGCCUUCCUUUACCUUCAAGAGUGGGCUGAAGCUUGUCCAAUCUUUCAAGGUUGCUGAAGACUGUAUGAUGGAAGUCAUCUGCAUUGGGAAAGAAAUUAAUGGAGAGAGGAGAAAACUUGAGAAUCCACACUACUCACCCUGCAGGGCCAAGAACUCUGUCUCCCAUGCAUUGCUGACCCAUCUCAGUAUUUCCUGUGACCACCUCCUUUUUCAACUGA
ensembl:lncRNA novel transcript